GCCUGUUACUUGUUAACUGGCACGGGCGUUGAGGUAACUCUGCGCCCGUGCGUGCGUUGUUAAGGGUAAAUAAUAUAAU
rnacentral:sRNA from 1 species